AUCCCAAAGGGAUGUCAGAGCAGCCUGAGAGGUAUCAGAAUUAUACACAGAGGAUUUUGUUGGAAAAUGUUUCUGUAUACUCCUUCGGAGGGAAGGAAGCAAAGGGAAGUAGGCUGCUCAGAGGAAAGCAUGAUGCAAUGCCUCAGCACAAGUCAUGGACACCUUCCAUGGCUCCAGAUCCAC